rnacentral:lncRNA from 1 species
AUGAGUUACUUACUGUCUGUCAACUCCUGGACAUCAUCAGACAUGGGUGCGCUUCACAUUGUUCUGGCUGUUCUCUUAGGACCGGUUUCAUGCAGUCAUGGUCAAAUGUUUGGAUCAGUGGUGGAGGUCACAGUCAAACCAGGAGACAACUUCACUCUCUACUGUGACUGCAAAGUGGCAACUGCAGUUUACAUAGUGUGGUUCAGGAACAGCUACAAUGACAAUCAGCCUACUCUCAUUAUGAAAACAUUUCAACGAAAGACCUACAACCCUGAUGAUUCCAAUUAUCUGAUGUUCAUCUCGAAUUUUCACUUUGUGAGGAAUUCAUCUUCAAACUCCUAUGACCUGCUAAUUAAGGACUUCACUGUUUCUAAUGAGGGUCUGUACUACUGUGGAACAGAAGAGAGCAAGGUGGAGGACGAAGAAUACAUAACCCAAAAAUUGAUUUACAAUUAUGGCAAUAUCACAAGACUCAUAUGUAACUCUAGUUCUCAUGAGGACAUCAACCAGAGUGUACCAGGCUGUAGUUUUUGCUGGAAGCAACUGUUUUCCCUUGUCCCUGUCCAGCUUUUGCUGUUCUAUCCGUAA